rnacentral:lncRNA from 1 species
CAGGCGGCGCGGGUGCGCGGUGCGGCGCUGGUAUCCAGAGGACGCGGUCACCGCCUCUGGCAUUUGUCGUUCUGCGCUUCUCCGCAAGGACCCUCUGUUAGGCAGGCGCCCACCGUAAGCCUCCCGGGCCUUGUGAACCUGCAAACCCAAGUCUGAGAGACGAUCCGCCUUCAGCGCUUUCCAGCUUGGCAGAGAGGCUUUCCCGGCGGGGAUCUUUGGUUGGCGCUGGCGAUGCGCGGGGAAGAAAGGCGAGGAGCGGCGUCCAGGCUGGGUGAUGUCCCAGCACGAGUAGGCGGGAUGCGCUCGCUUGGUCCUCCGGGCGCCCGGUCCCUGCCCGCGUCGCGCGCCCACCCCUGGGGACGAGAAGGCGGCCGCCUGAGGACCCCCGCCCGCGACCUCCGCGAGUCUGGAGCGCAGAGGACAGGGUCUGGCUGCUCUUUGGCCUUGGAUGGAAAGUGGGGAAUUGGGUGGGGGGCUGCGGACCCCUUAACGUGGAUUACUUGGUGUGUAUCAGCUGGGCUCAGAAGACCCACGACCUCUUCUCCAUCCGUGGAUUGAUUUGUUCUGCUUAACAGCUGGGUCGCCAAGCUGGAGGUGGAAUCAGAGGUUUCUGGCUGACUCGGUGGGUGCUUUGAACCAGGAAAGGACAAGAAAGAGGAACUCUGAAAGCCACAUGUUGAGAUGGCCCCAUUACAGGAUGGAGAGCACCUGAACCCCCAAGUUAUGGACUAGAAGAAGACAGUUGCCCUGGAAAAUCAUCUGACCCACAUUGGACUUUAUGUGAGGGGGAAAUAAACCUUUAUUAUGUUAAGCUACACAAUAAUAAAUAACAACAAUAAUUGUGUUUAUUUGUUA